UUACAAUGAUGACCAUCUUAGGACACCUUUGGAUUAACCGUGAAAGGAAGAUAUUUUGUCUGAGUAAC
ensembl:snoRNA SNORD58 Small nucleolar RNA SNORD58